AGAUUCAAAACACAGAGGAUUUCCUCUCUAGGCAAAACUUUAAAGUUACAAAAGCAGAGAUAAUCCUCCCUCUUAGCACAGGGAAAAUUCACAAGCUAAAACAAAAGAUAAUCUAAUGCAUUUCCUCCCUAUUACUUACAGUUUGUAAUCUUAGAGGGAUUUAGUUCAGGUAUGG